GAACUGAAGAGUUUGAUCCUGGCUCAGAUUGAACGCUGGCGGCAUGCCUUACACAUGCAAGUCGAACGGUAGCGCGGGG
rnacentral:rRNA from 1 species